rnacentral:lncRNA from 1 species
CCUGGCCCAAAGCAGGGCGCCGGGCCAUUGUCAGUCCUGGGAAGGGGGAUUGGGAGGAGCCCCAGAGGGGCGGCCAUUCCCUGGGGCGGCGUGGAAGGGAGGCAGCACCUCCAGGCGACAAGUAGAGCUGGGCCCUGGCGGGCUGCCACGGGGGUGUCUGGCAGUCUCUCCUGGGUCUAGGGCUGUUCCUCUGAGGUCACGAGGUGGUCCUUCGGGUGUGUCUGGGUUGGGAAGAUAAAACCAGCACGUGUAAUGUAAUACAUGACAAUGGAAGAUUCUACGUAAUUAAGGGUUAACUCUGAAAUCAGAAGACAAGUUUUCCAAGACUUGGGAAGGUGGAGAGAUCAGAGAUCAGUGAGAGAACAAAGAAUCGGGGAUGGGAAUGUGCUCUGUUGCCCAGGCUUGAGUGUAGUGGCUAGUCACAGGUGCAAUCAUAGCUCACUGCAGCCUUGAACUCCUGGCCUCCAAUGAUCCUCCUACUUCAGCCUCCUGAGCAGCUGGGACUACAGACAUCUGCCACUGAGCCUGACUUUCUCUGUUUUCUAAUUAUCAAAAAACAUCUACUGGGAAUCUUGUCUCCAGGUUACACUAUGAUCUCCCAGGCAUCUAGAACAAGACCCAUGAGUGAAAUACCUCUGUGUAUAUUCUGUUAGCAAGCUUUGCAAGCUCCAAAAUUGUGGCAGAAGACAGUGACAUGCCCUGGGGGAGGGAGGUUGGCCAGAUAGCUCAGAGGUCUUAGGGUGCUUGGGUGCCGGGCUCAGAACUGGCCAGACUGUUGGGGCCUCUGCUCUCUGGAGAGCUGGAAAGGGUAGAAUCAGGACCUGGGCUUAGAGUGUGCACACUUGGUCUAGGAUUUGUCUUCAGGAUCAAUUAUUUUCUUGACAACCAUCUGGUUGCUUUCUGCUGAGCCCUGCAUUGGCACCGGCAUUCCUGCUCCUCCCCAGCCAUGGUCCCACACCUGCACUCUAGGCCCCUCCACCCCUCCCCUGGGAAGCGCCCUCACUGUGUGGUAGUCUGGACUGUUCGACUUCUUGGCCUGGUAAUCCCUGGCUUUCAAUCCCUGGGCCCAAGCCUGCUCUGCCCAUGGCUGAACUUCGCCAGCUCUGCCUGCUCAGGGGAGGAAUUUUUUUUUUUUUUUUUUUUUUUUGAGAUGGAGUCUCGCUCUCUCAGACUGGAGUGCAGUGGCACAAUCUCGGCUCACUGCAACCUCCACCUCUUGGGUUCAAGCAGUUCUUCUGCCUCAGCCUCCCGAGUAGGUGGGACUACAGGUGCACACCACCAUGCCCUGCUAAUAAUUCAGGAGAGGAUUUGACAGUAAGUUGAUUCAGGGCACAUUACUUUCUUUGCUUGGUUACAGCUGGAGCCAGUUUGUUCCAACAGUUAGUAACUUUACAUCUUUGAUUUUCCUUGGGAUGUGACUGCAGUGUUUCCACAGUUAUGGCUCCAGUUCAGGAAUUUAAGAAAAUUGCUUUGUGUAACAUGAACUGGAAACUAGCGAACUAAUUUCUUUUCUUUUUUUUCUGUUUUUUUUUUUUUUUUUUUUUUUUGAGACGGAGUCUUGCUCUGUCGCCCAGGCUGGAGUGCAGUGGCGCGAUCUCGGCUCACUGCAACCUCCGCUUCCUGGGGUCAAGCCAUUCUCCUGCCUCAGCCUCCCUAGUAGCUGGGAUUACAAGCGCCCACCACCACACCUGGCUAAUUUUUGUAUUUUUGGUAGAGACCAGGUUUCACCAUGUUGGCCAGGAUGGUCUCAAUCUCUUGACCUCGUAAUCUGCCCACCUCGGCCUCCCAAAGUGCUGUGAUUACCGGCAUGAGCCACUGCGCCCAGCCUAGUGAACUACUUUCAUAAACUACAGACCUGCUUCUUUGUAGAGUGAGUUCAAAUGAUGUCUGGGAAGUGAUCAGCACUUGGAUCACAGAGGAGUCAGGACUCUCUGUGCUUACUUCCUGCUCACGGAGUUGGGAAGUUUUAGCACUUUCAGUUGUUGCUACAUAGACGGAAUGUGAUUACACCUCUACUCUUG